CUGUCCUUUCCACGAUACUGCAGGAUCUUCAACUGAGGAACAGCUGUGGUGGAUGGUUUCUGUAUCAACUUACUUAUGUAUCUAUGUGAGCAGCUCAGCAUAGUUCUGCUCAUCAAUCUGUGAAAAUUACAAGUUUCUGCUUCUGCUGGUAUGCUCUGUUCCAUAUGGUGGAACAUAAGGCCUAGAUAUUCUCAAAAGACAGUUGCAUUCUUUGCAGGUCCUUGUCAUACAUGUCUGGUGCUGCCUGCAGCUGUUGCUGUGGCUGCUGAUUCUGGUACCAAGAAGCACAUAUCCCUUCCAUGUUGAAUUGGCUCUCUGCCUUGAUCACGUCAUCAU
rnacentral:lncRNA from 1 species